rnacentral:rRNA from 1 species
GGAUACGCUGUCUAGUAUAAGCAAUCUAUACAGUGAAACUGCGAAUGGCUCAUUAAAUCAGUUAUCGUUUAUUUGAUAGUACCUUACUACUUGGAUAACCGUGGUAAUUCUAGAGCUAAUACAUGCUAAAAAUCCCGACCUCUGGAAGGGAUGUAUUUAUUAGAUAAAAAACCAAUGCCUUCGGGCUCACUGGUGAUUCAUGAUAACUUAACGAAUCGCAUGGCCUUGCGCCGGCGAUGGUUCAUUCAAAUUUCUGCCCUAUCAACUUUCGAUGGUAGGAUAGUGGCCUACCAUGGUUUCAACGGGUAACGGGGAAUUAGGGUUCUAUUCCGGAGAGGGAGCCUGAGAAACGGCUACCACAUCCAAGGAAGGCAGCAGGCGCGCAAAUUACCCAAUCCCGACACGGGGAGGUAGUGACAAUAAAUACUGAUACAGGGCCCUUUCGGGUCUUGUAAUUGGAAUGAGUACGAUCUAAAAACUCUAACGAGGAACAAUUGGAGGGCAAGUCUGGUGCCAGCAGCCGCGGUAAUUCCAGCUCCAAUAGCGUAUAUUAAAGUUGUUGCAGUUAAAAAGCUCGUAGUUGAACCUUGGGCUUGGCCGGCGGGUCCGCCUCACCGCGUGCACUCGCCCGGCCGGGCCUUUCCUUCUGGCAAACCCCAUGCCCUUUACUGGGUGUGGCGGGGAACCAGGACUUUUACUUUGAAAAAAUUAGAGUGUUCAAAGCAGGCAUAUGCUCGAAUACAUUAGCAUGGAAUAAUAGAAUAGGACGUGUGGUUCUAUUUUGUUGGUUUCUAGGACCACCGUAAUGAUUAAUAGGGAUAGUCGGGGGCAUCCGUAUUCAACUGUCAGAGGUGAAAUUCUUGGAUUUGUUGAAGACGAACUACUGCGAAAGCAUUUGCCAAGGAUGUUUUCAUUAAUCAGGAACGAAAGUUGAGGGAUCGAAGACGAUCAGAUACCGUCGUAGUCUCAACCAUAAACUAUGCCGACUAGGGAUCGGGCGGUGCUAACAAUUUGGCCCGCUCGGCACCUUACGAGAAAUCAAAGUCUUUGGUUCUGGGGGAGUAGUCGCAGCCC